AUCGUGUAGAACCUUUACUUAGACUAAUCUGGGAUUCAAUCGUAUCUAGCUGGCUUGAAUUCAAUUGCAAUAACACAGAACCCCUAAUUUCAUGAGUUGUGUUGCAAUUAUUCAGAAACACAGUACAUUGGUAAUGGAUAUUAGGUGGCGUGAAAGUAAAACGAAACUCAAGUAGGAUCAGAUGAAUCAAGAGUCUUUUCUUAAUGAACUAGCAGAAGAGUUUAGAUUGCCAAUUACACAAGGCCACACAGGGUUACGGAAAACGUUGAUGUUGAGGAUGUGGAGCAAGCUUCACUAGACACGAAGAUAUCAUCAUCAUACGUCGGGUUUCGUCUUCUUGAGGAGAUGGGGUGGAAAGCCAAAGGCCUCGGCAAGCAAGAGCAAUGUUUUUUGAAAGACCAGACCGAUUUAUUAAAAAAUCGUUUCGUUUAGAACCUGAUUUUUAGAACACCUGUUUAGAGUGUUUAGAACUGCUACUUCAAAGUUGAUCAUUUGUUUUUUACUGUUUGCUUCAGGCAUAACGGAGCCUAUAAAGUCUGGUAUCAGGGACCGGAGACUCGGUUUUAGGAAAGCAAGAAGAGGAUGAUUAUUUCACUGCAGAGGAGAAUAAGCUUGAUAUUGAGAUCGAGGAGACUGAGGAAAGCGCAAAGAAACGGGAGGACGAUGAACCCUUGUUCUUGUUUUAUGUAGCGGUUCAAAGAUAUGAAAGAAAUGCUCGGUGCAAGCAGCCGAGACCAUAGGAAGAAACGAGAGCAGCAGCGUCAAGAGAGGGGGGAUGACUAAAAUGGCUGAUGCUCGUAAACAACAGCAGAUGCAACAGAACAAGCAAGAGGAAGACCCAGAGAACGUCCCAGCUUCAUCACCGGCUAAGACCACUGUUAUUGAAGUUUGGCUUUUCUAUCAAAGAGCGGCAGUAUAUCAAAGAGUAGAGCAAACAACAAGCAGCCUAAAUUAGCAAUUGCAUCGAUUUUUGGCCACGAUAGCAACGAAGAUUAAAGUUGUUACAUCUUGAUUCAACAACAUUGUACUUUAUGUGAUUCUAUUUUUAUGUUUUUUUUUAAACAGAACAUAAUCUGCAACAAAAUUACCGUCUUUCAAGUCUUUGGCUAUAAAUCCAUCUGACCGUUAAAAACAACCGUUAAAGGUUAAAUUGCCACUCCCACUGUUUGGAAACCACCGCCUACUCAAUGGACUAAAUGUAAUAUAGAUGGUUCAUGGACCCAUAAAGAAGGAAGAGGCGGCAUUGGUUGGAUUAGUAGAGAUCAGGAUGGCAAGGUGUUAUUCGGCAGGGGCUACAGAUUGGGAUCCGCUAUAGAAGCUGGAGCACUCAGAUGGGCAGUAUCAAUAAUGACUGGUUUUGGAUAUCGAAAUCUUGUUGUUGAGUCUCACUCGCAGGUGCUGGUCCGGAUGAUCAAAGGUGAGAGAGAGAGGAUAUGUGGCCUAUACUAAAACCAAUCAUCCAGGACAUAACCCAUUCUUUGAUAUCAUUCCGAGAUUAUCUGAUAUCAUAUUA